rnacentral:snRNA from 12 species
AUACUUACCUGGGACAGGGGUUACCGUGAUCACGAAGGCGGUUCGCCCAGGGCGAGGCCUGGCCAUUGCACAGUAUUCUCCCUGGAGGAAUAUUUCACAAAAUAAAAGAUACGUAAAUGCCAAAUCAACUUCGUUUUCGUUUGAAACAUCAACUGAUGCGCUCAUGUUAU